UUUUCUCCUCCCGCCCCUCGGAAGGUGUCCCGUGACCCCCAGGACCCCAAGAGCUGUAACCGCUCCUGUGUGUUGUUGAGGCUUUUGAAACCUAACUCCAGCCUCUCCAACCUAGAAACUCUAUACUUUCUACAAAUAUUGAGCUUUUUGAGAGCCUAAAAAGUUCCUGGUACUUUUCACGAAGUCAUCUUAUUUAAUUAUCACCAAAAAAUCUCCUGCAAGAUGGGAGCGGUUAUAUUCCAUUUAUAGGAAAGGAAACCAAGGCCAAGAGAAGAAAUUUGCUCCGUUCACCGCCCCUCCUCAGCCAUCCUGGCCGUGCUCAGUCAUCCGACCAGCCGACCUCCGUGUUCCCGCACUCCCUGGGAACUCGUUCCGCCUCUCGGCUUCCAAUGCUGUUGCCGCAUGUUGAAGACUCCCGCACUGAUAACUCCAGUCUGACCGUGGAACGCAGAUGUUAUUGAACUCUAGACUUGUAUUCGAACUGAUUACUAAAGAGCUGUAUUUGCAUGUGUAAUGGACAUCCCAAUCCUAACACACCCCAAAAGGAAUUCCUGAUACCUACCUGACCUGUUCUUUCAACAGUGUUCAUCCCAGGAAUGGAGGAAGAUCCCGGCAUCUUUCCAGUUGCUCAGGCCAAAACCCUUGAUUGUUGUCUCUAAUUUUGUUCAUCCAAAAUUCACCUGUGAUUUAUCUGCAAAUUCUGUUGGCUUCAUCUAAAAAUAUAUUCAUUAUUGAGCCACUUUGAACACUUCCACUGCUAUAACCACCAAGCCACCUACAUCACCCUUCUGGAUUAUUACAUUGGCUUCCCUGACUACAGUCUAUUCAUGGCCCCAGAGUAAACCUCUUAAAGUAAGAUCAUGUCAUUCAUUUGUUCAAAACCUUCAAAGGCUUCCCAACUUAUUAGACCAAAGUCAAGGCUUGGCGGUGGCACAUGGCUCCCGUCAUGAUUUGUCUUUUUAGUUCUUUAUUGUGUCUGCAAUGCUAAAAACAGUGUUCAGCAGGGAACAGGCACUCAGUAAAUAUUUGUUGAAUUAAUGAAUUUAUAAGAUGCCUUAUUGUUUACAAAGUGCUUUUACACCUGUCUUCUGGUUAUUCAUCUUCACCAUAGUCUCACAGAUCAUCAUAUCUGUCUUGCAAAUCAGUAAACUGAAGCAAGAGAGGCCAACUUGCCUGAAGUAAUACAGUGGGUUGUUGGUGGAAGCUAGACUAAGUCACAGUUUCAUUCUCUUAAGCUGGGGCUUUCAACUCUGCAGGGAGCUGUCUCUGCAUAUGGUAAAGCACAAAGCUGAAUGAGAUCUGGACAAAGAGUCUGCCCUCACAAUCUAGAGAGUAUCUGGACUAUUGCAGUGAUUAAAUGAGGUGAGGUAAGGCGCUUAGCACAAUGUAUAACGGAAUAAAUGAGAGUCAUUGCUGUUACAUUUAUUAUUAAAUUAUUAUUAUAAAUUGGUUGAUGCUGGUGGUUGGAGGGUUGGGGGUAAAGGGCAAUGGCCAGAGAUCUAGAAAUGGUUUAGGAAAAAUGUCAGGAGCAAACAUGACCUGUUGGAACUGUCUGCUCUACGUACACUAAAAUAAAAAGAUAAUUAAAAAAAAAACAUUUCAUGUCCACAUAAAGGUGGAUUAUCCCUUUUUCCUAUACCUGAAAACAACUGGGCCUGCCAUAGAAGGCCCAGAGGUAUGUCGACUAAAGCACUGGGUAAAGAAGGAUG